CAGGUGGUAAGCUGAAUCAGUAAAAUAAUCAACUUUUAAGUUUUUUGGGUAGGUAUUUCAGACCAGCAACUUUCAGUACUGGCUGGAAGGCAGUCAGAUUCAAAUGGAUGUGAGAACAGAUCUGCUUACUGUCCCAAGUCAUCUCCUGGUGCAGUUUCUCUGGAACCCACAGCUGGAAAAACAUCAAAACCCUAGAAUAGCUGAAAGAGGACAAAACUAUUCUCUUCAAGGAUUCUACAGAAAAGGAGGGACAAGCCAAGGCCUCUAUUUCUGCCUUCUGUGCCCCUGCUCUCAAAAGUUUUGGUAAAUAUAUCCCAAUUUACCUGAUAUCCAGGAA